GACAGAGGGUGCAAACGUUGUUCGGAAUUACUGGGCGUAAAGCGAGUGUAGGCGGUCCGAUAAGUCGGGUGUGAAAGCCCUGGGCUCAACCCAGGAAGUGCACUCGAAACUGACGGGCUAGAGUACUGGAGAGGUUGGUGGAAUUCUCGGUGUAGAGGUGAAAUUCGUAGAUAUCGAGAGGAACACCGGUGGCGAAGGCGGCCAACUGGACAGAUACUGACGCUGAGACUCGAAAGCGUGGGGAGCAAACAGG
rnacentral:rRNA from 1 species